rnacentral:rRNA from 1 species
CGGACGGGUGAGUAAUGUCUGGGAAACUGCCUGAUGAGGGGGAUAACUACUGGAAACGGUAGCUAAUACCGCAUAACGUCGCAAGACCAAANAGGGGGACCUUCGGGCCUCUUGCCAUCGGAUGUGCCCAGAUGGGAUUAGCUAGUAGGUGGGGUAACGGCUCACCUAGGCGACGAUCCCUAGCUGGUCUGAGAGGAUGACCAGCCACACUGGAACUGAGACACGGUCCAGACUCCUACGGGAGGCAGCAUG